UAAUACGGAGGGUCCAAGCGUUAUCCGGAUUUAUUGGGUUUAAAGGGUCCGUAGGCGGGAGAAUAAGUCAGUGGUGAAAGCCUGCAGCUCAACUGUAGAACUGCCAUUGAAACUGUUUUUCUUGAAUUUAGAUGAAGUGGGCGGAAUAUAUCAUGUAGCGGUGAAAUGCAUAGAUAUGAUAUAGAACACCGAUUGCGAAGGCAGCUCACUAAACUAACAUUGACGCUGAGGGACGAAAGUGUGGGGAGCGAACAGGAUUAGAUACCCUGGUAGUCCACACCGUAAACGAUGAUUACUCGAUGCUAGCGAUAUACUGUUAGUGUCUAAGCGAAAGCGAUAAGUAAUCCACCUGGGGAGUACGGUCGCAAGAUUG
rnacentral:rRNA from 1 species